CCUACGGGUGGCAGCAGUGAGGAAUAUUGGUCAAUGGACGCAAGUCUGAACCAGCCAUGCCGCGUGCAGGAAGACGGCUCUAUGAGUUGUAAACUGCUUUUGUACGAGGGUAAACUCAUAUACGCGUAUCUGUCUGAAAGUAUCGUACGAAUAAGGAUCGGCUAACUCCGUGCCAGCAGCCGCGGUAAUACGGAGGAUUCAAGCGUUAUCCGGAUUUAUUGGGUUUAAAGGGUGCGUAGGCGGUCGGAUAAGUUAGAGGUGAAAUUCCGCGGCUCAACUUCGGAAUUGCCUCUGAUACUGGUCGGCUAGAGAGCAGUUGCGGUAGGCGGAAUGUAUGGUGUAGCGGUGAAAUGCUUAGAGAUCAUACAGAACACCGAUUGCGAAGGCAGCUUACCAGGCUACUUCUGACGUUGAGGCACGAAAGCGUGGGGAGCAAACAGGAUUAGAUACCCUGGUAGUC
rnacentral:rRNA from 1 species